GUUUAGCCCCGAUGGAAACGGCAUCCUUUUUCCUGCUUCUUUAGCAGGAAAAAGAUAUAGUGUACAGCGGGACAGGUG
rnacentral:sRNA from 1 species